GGAGCACAAGGCAAUGCUACUUCCAGCGGGAGCCAGCUGAGAGCUUGUCCUUAAUUUAGGCAGUUUGUUGGCUGCUCCAGAUCUGGAUACGAACCUCUCAGGCCGAAGACCUUUGCCAGGGUUUCAUUGCUUGUUGUUGCAGGGAACCUGCCCGUGGCUCUGGGACCAGGCACAGAGAGCCCAGGGCAGCGCGUGGAAGUGUGCCUGCUGAGCCCGGGGCUGGAUCUGGCCCACCGUUCUUGCUGUCCAUUGCCUUUUGCAAUCCCAAGGCAACUGCAUCUACGUGGUGGGGUCUGCCAGGAGGGACACUCCGCGAAACACCCUUUGGACCCAGUGGCUCUAAAGAACUUGUGAAUUGGAUGAAGUGCUGUGAUUCCCCAGCAGAGCAACAGAGAAGACCUACAGCUUCUUCUUACCAUCUUCCCUGGCAUCUUUCCCUAAAAGACUUUAAAUGUCUUUUUUUUUUUUUGUCUUUUUUUUUUUUUUUUUUUUCCCAGAAGUGGCUUUGGUAACAGUGCAGGAAUGCAAAUAAACAAGUAAAAGUCAGUCUAAUCA